rnacentral:lncRNA from 1 species
UCCUUGUCCAGAGGCAUGGACACAAUUCGAUCCUUGAAUCUGCUAGUAAAGAGAUCCAUCUUGGAAACAAGAUCUUUUCUGCUGUAAAUUCCCUGCAGUCCCAGAAGACACUUUAGCCGCACUUCAGCUUGCUUAUCAUACAGCAUCCAUCCAAUGUAUUUUAAGUAGCUAUCAUUUAAAAAAACAUCUGGGUAUGUUUUAAUCCAGUUGCCAAUUUCUUCAAUGCAAGUAGCUCGU